rnacentral:rRNA from 1 species
CAUCCUCCAAGGCUAAAUACUCCUGACUGACCGAUAGUGAACCAGUACCGUGAGGGAAAGGCGAAAAGAACCCCGGCGAGGGGAGUGAAAAAGAACCUGAAACCGUGUACGUACAAGCAGUGGGAGCACGCUUAGGCGUGUGACUGCGUACCUUUUGUAUAAUGGGUCAGCGACUUAUAUUCUGUAGCAAGGUUAACCGAAUAGGGGAGCCGAAGGGAAACCGAGUCUUAACUGGGCGUUAAGUUGCAGGGUAUAGACCCGAAACCCGGUGAUCUAGCCAUGGGCAGGUUGAAGGUUGGGUAACACUAACUGGAGGACCGAACCGACUAAUGUUGAAAAAUUAGCGGAUGACUUGUGGCUGGGGGUGAAAGGCCAAUCAAACCGGGAGAUAGCUGGUUCUCCCCGAAAGCUAUUUAGGUAGCGCCUCGUGAAUUCAUCUCCGGGGGUAGAGCACUGUUUCGGCAAGGGGGUCAUCCCGACUUACCAACCCGAUGCAAACUGCGAAUACCGGAGAAUGUUAUCACGGGAGACACACGGCGGGUGCUAACGUCCGUCGUGAAGAGGGAAACAACCCAGACCGCCAGCUAAGGUCCCAAAGUCAUGGUUAAGUGGGAAACGAUGUGGGAAGGCCCAGACAGCCAGGAUGUUGGCUUAGAAGCAGCCAUCAUUUAAAGAAAGCGUAAUAGCUCACUGGUCGAGUCGGCCUGCGCGGAAGAUGUAACGGGGCUAAACCAUGCACCGAAGCUGCGGCAGCGACGCUUAUGCGUUGUUGGGUAGGGGAGCGUUCUGUAAGCCUGCGAAGGUGUGCUGUGAGGCAUGCUGGAGGUAUCAGAAGUGCGAAUGCUGACAUAAGUAACGAUAAAGCGGGUGAAAAGCCCGCUCGCCGGAAGACCAAGGGUUCCUGUCCAACGUUAAUCGGGGCAGGGUGAGUCGACCCCUAAGGCGAGGCCGAAAGGCGUAGUCGAUGGGAAACAGGUUAAUAUUCCUGUACUUGGUAUUACUGCGAAGGGGGGACGGAGAAGGCUAUGUUGGCCGGGCGACGGUUGUCCCGGUUUAAGCGUGUAGGCUGGUUUUCCAGGCAAAUCCGGAAAAUCAAGGCUGAGGCGUGAUGACGAGGCACUACGGUGCUGAAGCAACAAAUGCCCUGCUUCCAGGAAAAGCCUCUAAGCAUCAGGUAACAUCAAAUCGUACCCCAAACCGACACAGGUGGUCAGGUAGAGAAUACCAAGGCGCUUGAGAGAACUCGGGUGAAGGAACUAGGCAAAAUGGUGCCGUAACUUCGGGAGAAGGCACGCUGAUAUGUAGGUGAAGUCCCUUGCGGAUGGAGCUGAAAUCAGUCGAAGAUACCAGCUGGCUGCAACUGUUUAUUAAAAACACAGCACUGUGCAAACACGAAAGUGGACGUAUACGGUGUGACGCCUGCCCGGUGCCGGAAGGUUAAUUGAUGGGGUCAGCGCAAGCGAAGCUCUUGAUCGAAGCCCCGGUAAACGGCGGCCGUAACUAUAACGGUCCUAAGGUAGCGAAAUUCCUUGUCGGGUAAGUUCCGACCUGCACGAAUGGCGUAAUGAUGGCCAGGCUGUCUCCACCCGAGACUCAGUGAAAUUGAACUCGCUGUGAAGAUGCAGUGUACCCGCGGCAAGACGGAAAGACCCCGUGAACCUUUACUAUAGCUUGACACUGAACAUUGAGCCUUGAUGUGUAGGAUAGGUGGGAGGCUUUGAAGUGUGGACGCCAGUCUGCAUGGAGCCGGCCUUGAAAUACCACCCUUUAAUGUUUGAUGUUCUAACGUGGACCCGUGAUCCGGGUUGCGGACAGUGUCUGGUGGGUAGUUUGACUGGGGCGGUCUCCUCCUAAAGAGUAACGGAGGAGCACGAAGGUUGGCUAAUCCUGGUCGGACAUCAGGAGGUUAGUGCAAUGGCAUAAGCCAGCUUGACUGCGAGCGUGACGGCGCGAGCAGGUGCGAAAGCAGGUCAUAGUGAUCCGGUGGUUCUGAAUGGAAGGGCCAUCGCUCAACGGAUAAAAGGUACUCCGGGGAUAACAGGCUGAUACCGCCCAAGAGUUCAUAUCGACGGCGGUGUUUGGCACCUCGAUGUCGGCUCAUCACAUCCUGGGGCUGAAGUAGGUCCCAAGGGUAUGGCUGUUCGCCAUUUAAAGUGGUACGCGAGCUGGGUUUAGAACGUCGUGAGACAGUUC